AUAAAGUUGCCAGGAAGUAGGCACAAAGUAACCCAGGAGUUUGGGAAGGACCUCGGAUAAAAUAGAGGCGAAUAUAAAGUUGCCAGGAAGCAGGCUUUGGGACAAGUUAAGGUUCCUGGUUUUGGGACAAGUUAAGGUUCCCGGUUUGGGGACAAGUUAAGGAACUAUGAUAACCUCAGUGUAGUGAUCAAUAGAUCCUCGCUGUGUAGUUAUGCUUUUUUCUCCCGUUGACCCUUUGUGGGUAGGUCUGAUAGUUUUGGUCUUGUUUGUUCUGAUAUAUGGACUCUGUUACUGUUUGUGUGUAGAGGCAGUCAAGACAGGUCAGAAAAUCCUUACAGAGCAACAAGAAAGUAUGUCGGAAGAGGAGAAGGGCUUAAAAAGAAAAAAGAAAAAGAAAGGAGACACAGUGUUAUCAGGUGGACAGAAAGGACAAAAUAUAAGAGCAGAGGCGGAAGAGGAAGGCGAAUUAGCUUCUGCGCCUCCUCCCUAUGCCUCCUCAGCAGCCACCUAUAGGCGGACCUUCUGUCCGGAGAUUUGGCGUAUUGACUCCCCAGAUGGACACACAGGUGAUUGAGGUUAUGGUCUCAUCACCACGAGGUAUUGUGUCCAUCCCCCCUGGGAUCGACCAGAUCAGGUGUUGACGUGGGCGAGAGGGUCUGUUUGUGUGUUUCCACAGGACCAGAUGGAACCUCUUUGGGUGCCGGAGAGAUUGGUGAGACGCUGCAAGAAUGAGGCUCCUGAUCCAGUUGCCCCUGUGGAUGUGGUGGAUGAUCCCACAAGCACAAAGGAUGGAGCUGAGAUGAGAGAUCCUUUCGGUAUUCCAGAAGCCGAUACCAGCUCGACAUGAUGUUCAAAUUUUUCCACGCUUUUUGAUCCCUGAAUUCCCCUUAAAGAAAUAGCCCCUCUGGCUAUCUAUCCCUUGCUUCAGGGAAGAUGAGCAGGGAUGAGAGCCCUGGGAUGUAUGCUUGUUAUAGUGUGUGUGUGUUUUGUGUUUGGCACAUGUGUUAGGUGCAGAGUGUGCGGGUCCGCACUUUCGCCAUGGUAGCGUAGGCUUUUGCUGCAGUGGAGGCGGGACAAUCUCCUCAGAUUUGGUUUGCCGCUCUAAAAGAAAUUAUGCUGCGUUAUGCCGUGGGGUGCGAGGCUAAGCACUGCACAGAGGAUAGCUUGCUGUUGGCAUCCUGUGGAAGGCACGUCUGAUUGCAUGAAGGUUCAGUGUCCUAGUUCCCUUCCCCCAGGAAAAAUGACACGGGAGCUGGCCAAGACCUCUCUGGGUGAUGAGCCUAAGGGAUGGUUUUGUGUAGGGCCCCUAUGCUUGCACACUGGGGAUCAGACCUCUACCUUCACCCAUGAGGCUUGCUUGCAGCAAUUAAGAUCUGGCCAUAAGUUAAUUAACAUCCUGGCCUUUUGAUGCACCUGCCACAAGCAAAACACAAUCUCCCCAGGUGUGGCUUGGCAUGAUAGAGAGGUAGUCAGUGAUAAGACUCCCUGGGCAUGUCACCAACCUAAGACAGGGAUCAAACCAAUGCUGUUUGUCACCCAAGGACGGGUAAGGGGCAUGGCUGCGGGGGGCUAUCUACAGACAUUCUCUCUGCCAAAAAAGAAAAAAGGGGGAGAUGUUAGGAGCAGGUGUGGCGGCAGUCCUAAAGGCGCCAGGGACUGUAGCUAAGUCAUAUGACUUGCACCUGACUUCCUCAUAUAAGACACAAACAUCUUGAGUGCUGCGAAGGUGUACCAGGAUACAGGUGAAUCCAAUUUGGUGGAGAUUUGCCCCUGCUGCCCUGAUUAGCUGAAGCUGCGUGCCUGGUGAGGUAGCGUGGCCUGCUGUGCGUGGAUGGGAACUGAAAGUAUAAAAGAGUGAGAGGCCCAGGCUAGAGGGAGGAUUAUUAUUCGAGAGAGGAUUACUAUUAGUGGGGGAGAUAUAAACAAGGGGGAUAUAAACAAGGGAGAUAUAAACAGGGGAGAUAUAAACAAGAGAGAUAUAAACAAGAAGAAACAGGACUGAAUAAACGUGUGCAGAAG
rnacentral:lncRNA from 1 species